rnacentral:lncRNA from 1 species
GCACCACUUUGGUCCAAAGAAAAGGAGUAGAUUAUCUUAUUGAAAAUGCACAGACAAGCCCAAUUAAUUAAACAAAUUCAAAUUUAAUAAAGAUAUUGGGUUUUCUCUCAAAAAAAAUGAAGAUAUUGGGUUUAAAUUCUAAAACCCAAUCACGAGCCCAAGCAAAAAUAAAUUCCAACCCAAUUUCUUAUUUUUCUUUCCUUUUUCUUUCUUUCUUUUUUUUCUUCCUUCUUCUUCCUCCUCACCUCUAGCUGGCUAAAGCUUCUCCUCGUCGGCGACCAUGACAAAUGCCGACAGCGAUUUUUGCAGAUGCUGGUUGCACCAAAAUACAACUUCCUACUCGAUUUUUUGCGUAGAAUCUAUUUCCAGACAUAGUUUUUGCAAAAAAAUGAAAGAAAUGUGAUCAAAUAUAUGAUUUACAGCCGGGUAUCAUUUUUACAACCUAUCCAAAAAAAUAUUAACAAAAUCCAUAAAAUCAUACCCAAAAGAACGGUUCUUGAUUCCACAAUCCAACCAUAAUUCAUGUUUGCAAAAGAAAGUGCAAAUACAAAAGCUUUAAAUCCAAACAGUAGCAAAACUCACACUUACUUUUGUUUCGGGCAUUUUAUCAAACAAGAACAAGGCAUAAUGAAACCAAGUUUUAGUCCAUCAAGUUUGCUUAUUCUUGACCCAAAAUUUUCAUCAAUAACCACAAGCAUCAGUACAAGAAAUAAAUCAAACAUGAUAGGAAGCUUAAACAGGCAAUGAAUCUUGAAAACAUCCAAAAAAACAUGAUUUUAAGAUGAGCAAACAAAAAGACAAAAAACAAAAAAAAUAGAAAUGAACCAGCAAUCAUAUAUUCCACAGAGUAUUAGCUACAAAUAUGUAAAAUCAAGACCAAGAAUAAAAGAAGAAACUUUACCAUGCUUUCUUGAUGUUGUGGAACUUGAUGGUGGCAGUGGUGAUUGCUAGCAGUAGCAGCUUCCUUGUUACUUUGCCCCCUCAUUUUUUUUUGAAAAAGGAAGAGACUUGAGAAAGAGAGUUGUGUGUGUGUGAUUAUUGUGUAUUAUUACGAAAUUGAGAGGAGGGAUUGAGAGAGAGUCGAGAGAGGGGAGUUGGGGAUGUUGUUGUGUAUUAGUGUAUAAGAGUGAAAUUGAGGAAUCGGGAGGGAGAGGGAGUGAUUUUUUUUUUUUU